AAUCAUAAUUUCCUGUCAAUAUGCACAUCUACAUAGUAUGUCCUUAUUAUCUACACAGUUUCAUGAAAUUCUGUUGUGUGGUUUGAGAGGAGUUGCGAUGACAAAAGGUUGCAGUAGUAUAUUGGGCAAAUAAGUUCAAAGAGGCGUAACUCCUGGAAAAAAAUUGAACCGUAUUUCCUGUCGAUAUGCACAUCUACGUAGUAUGUCCUUAUUAUCUGAAAAGGUUUCAUGAAAUUCUGUUGUGUGGUUUGAGAGGAGUUGCGAUGACAAAAGGUUGCAGUAGUAUAUUGGGCAAAUAAGUUCAAAGAGGCGUAACUCCUGGAAAAAAAUUGAACCGUAUUUCCUGUCGAUAUGCACAUCUACGUAGUAUGUCCUUAUUAUCUGAAAAGGUUUCAUGAAAUUCUGUUGUGUGGUUUGAGAGGAGUUGCGAUGACAAAAGGUUGCAGUAGUAUAUUGGGCAAAUAAGUUCAAAGAGGCGUAACUCCUGGAAAAAAAUUGAACCGUAUUUCCUGUCGAUAUGCACAUCUACGUAGUAUGUCCUUAUUAUCUGAAAAGGUUUCAUGAAAUUCUGUUGUGUGGUUUGAGAGGAGUUGCGAUGACAAAAGGUUGCAGUAGUACAUUAAAGUAAAUAAGUUCAAAGGGGCGUAACUCCUGGAAAAAAAAUUGAAUCCUAAUUUCCUGUCGAUAUGCACAUCUACGUAGUAUGUCCUUAUUAUCUGAAAAGGUUUCAUGAAAUUCUGUUGUGUGGUUUGAAAGGAGUUGCGAUGACAAGAAACAGGACUGACGGACUG